UGGAUCCAGACUUUGAUUAUGGCUCAGGAUGAACGCUAGCUACAGGCUUAACACAUGCAAGUCGAGGGGAAACGAUAUUGGAAGCUUGCUUCCGAUAGGCGUCGACCGGCGCACGGGUGAGUAACGCGUAUCCAACCUGCCCAUCACUUGGGGAUAACCUUGCGAAAGUAAGACUAAUACCCAAUGACGUCUCUAGAAGACAUCUGAAAGAGAUUAAAGAUUUAUCGGUGAUGGAUGGGGAUGCGUCUGAUUAGCUUGUUGGCGGGGUAACGGCCCACCAAGGCAACGAUCAGUAGGGGUUCUGAGAGGAAGGUCCCCCACAUUGGAACUGAGACACGGUCCAAACUCCUACGGGAGGCAGCAGUGAGGAAUAUUGGUCAAUGGACGAGAGUCUGAACCAGCCAAGUAGCGUGCAGGAUGACGGCCCUAUGGGUUGUAAACUGCUUUUAUAAGGGAAUAAAGUGAGUCUCGUGAGACUUUUUGCAUGUACCUUAUGAAUAAGGACCGGCUAAUUCCGUGCCAGCAGCCGCGGUAAUACGGAAGGUCCGGGCGUUAUCCGGAUGUAUUGGGUUUAAAGGGAGCGUAGGCCGGAGAUUAAGCGUGUUGUGAAAUGUAGACGCUCAACGUCUGCACUGCAGCGCGAACUGGUUUCCUUGAGUACGCACAAAGUGGGCGGAAUUCGUGGUGUAGCGGUGAAAUGCUUAGAUAUCACGAGGAACUCCGAUUGCGAAGGCAGCUCACUGGAGCGCAACUGACGCUGAAGCUCGAAAGUGCGGGUAUCGAACAGGAUUAGAUACCCUGGUAGUCCGCACGGUAAACGAUGGAUGCCCGCUGUUGGUCUGAAUAGGUCAGCGGCCAAGCGAAAGCAUUAAGCAUCCCACCUGGGGAGUACGCCGGCAACGGUGCAACUCAAAUGAAUUGACGGA
rnacentral:rRNA from 1 species